UAGAGUUUGAUCAUGGCUCAGGACGAACGCUGGCGGCGCGCCUAAUGCAUGCAAGUCGAACGGGCGGACCCCUUCGGGGGCGAGCUAGUGGCAGACGGCUGAGUAACGCGUAAGCAAUCUACCCACUGGCGGGGGACAACCCGGAGAAAUCCGGGCUAAUACCGCAUGUGAUUGCCUGCCGAUAGCGGGUAAUCAAAGGCUUCGGCCACCAGUGGAUGGGCUUGCGUCCCAUCAGGUAGUUGGUGAGGUAACGGCCCACCAAGCCUACGACGGGUAGCCGGUGUGAGAGCACGACCGGCCAGAGGGGGACUGAGACACGGCCCCCACUCCUACGGGAGGCAGCAGCAGGGAAUCUUGCGCAAUGGGCGAAAGCCUGACGCAGCGACGCCGCGUGAGGGAAGAAGGCCUGCGGGUCGUAAACCUCUUUUCUCGGGGAAGAUAGUGACGGUACCCGAGGAAUAAGCCUCGGCUAACUACGUGCCAGCAGCCGCGGUAAUACGUAGGAGGCUAGCGUUGUCCGGAUUCAUUGGGCGUAAAGGGAGCGCAGGUGGCCGGGUUAGUCCGUGGUGCAAUCUCCAGGCUCAACUUGGAGAGGUCUGCGGAUACUGCCUGGCUUGAGGACGGUAGAGGAGCACGGAAUUCCUGGUGUAGUGGUGAAAUGCGUAGAUAUCAGGAGGAACACCCGUGGCGAAAGCGGUGCUCUGGGCCGAUCCUGACGCUGAGACACGAAAGCGUGGGGAGCAAACCGGAUUAGAUACCCGGGUAGUCCACGCCCUAAACGAUGGAUACUAGAUGUAGGGGGUAUCGACCCCCCCUGUGUCGGAGUUAACGCGAUAAGUAUCCCGCCUGGGGAGUACGGCCGCAAGGCUAAAACUCAAAGGAAUUGACGGGUCCCCGCACAAGCGGCGGAGCGUGUGGUUUAAUUCGAUGAUAAGCGAAGAACCUUACCUGGGCUUGACAUGCAUUUGACAGCCCGUGAAAACGGGUCUUCUUUCGAGACAAGUGCACAGAUGUUGCAUGGCUGUCGUCAGCUCGUGCCGUGAGGUGUUGGGUUAAGUCCCGCAACGAGCGCAACCCUCGUCGUUAGUUACUAUGUCUAGCGAGACUGCUCCUAAAAGGGGAGAGGAAGGUGGGGACGAGGUCAAGUCGGCACGGCUCUUACGCCCAGGGCUACACACACGCUACAAUGGUCGGAACAGAGGGUCGCGAUGGUGCGAGCCGGAGCUAAUCCCAAAAAUCCGGCCCCAGUUGGAAUUGCAGGCUGAAACCCGCCUGCAUGAACGCGGAGUCGCUAGUAAUCGCAGGUCAGCACACUGCGGUGAAUACGUUCCCGGGGAUUGUACACACCGCCCG
rnacentral:rRNA from 1 species